AUUCGAUGCACGCGAAGAGCCUUACCUACUCUUGACAUCCUCAGAAGAGACUGGAGACAGUCUUGUGCCUUCGGGAACUGAGAGACAGGUGCUGCAUGGCUGUCGUCAGCUCGUGUUGUGAAAUGUUGGGUUAAGUCCCGCAACGAGCGCAACCCUUAUCCUUGUUUGCCAGCACUUCGGGUGGGAACUCCAGGGAGACUGCCGGUGAUAAACCGGAGGAAGGUGGGGACGACGUCAAGUCAUCAUGGCCCUUACGAGUAGGGCUACACACGUGCUACAAUGGCGCAUACAGAGGGCGGCCAACUUGCGAGAGUGAGCGAAUCCCAAAAAGUGCGUCGUAGUCCGGAUUGGAGUCUGCAACUCGACUCCAUGAAGUCGGAAUCGCUAGUAAUCGUGGAUCAGAA
rnacentral:rRNA from 1 species